rnacentral:snRNA from 1 species
AUACUUACCUGGCAGGGGAGAUACCAUGAUCACGAAGGUGGUUUCCCAGGGUGAGGCUCAUCCAUUGCACUCCGGGUGUGCUGACCCCUGCGAUUUCCCCAAAUGUGGGAAACUCGACUGCAUAAUUUGUGGUAGUGGGGGCCGCGUUCGCGCUCUCCCCUG